AAUCCAUGGUGAGGGCACAUAAACAAUAAAUGUUUAAACCCCUCCCAAGCUUGGAAGAAGGUUUCAUGUUCUUUGCAAUGAAAAAUCAUGAUUUGUGUUUGAUAAGAAU